rnacentral:rRNA from 1 species
CGGGGGGAGCAAGCGUUGUUCGGAUUUACUGGGCGUAAAGGGCGCGUAGGCGGCCAGCGCAAGUCAGUUGUGAAAUCUCCGGGCUUAACUCGGAAAGGUCAACUGAUACUGCGCGGCUAGAGUGCAGAAGGGGCAACUGGAAUUCUCGGUGUAGCGGUGAAAUGCGUAGAUAUCGAGAGGAACACCUGCGGCGAAGGCGGGUUGCUGGGCUGACACCGACGCUGAGGCGCGAAAGCCAGGGGAGCGAACGGGAUUAGAUACCCCGGUAGUCCUGGCCUUAAACGAUGGAUGCUUGGUGUCUGGAGUUUUAUAGUCUCCGGGUGCCGUAGCUAACGCGUUAAGCAUCCCGCCUGGGGAGUACGGUCGCAAGACUG